UUUGGCGUUGGGACGCUCGGCCAGCAAGCGGUUACCCACAGCAUGCAUCAGGUGGGUCUUGCCCAGGCCGACACCGCCGUA
rnacentral:antisense_RNA from 1 species